ensembl:lncRNA
GCCAUACUUCUCCAGUUUUGAAGUGAUAACUGGUAGCAUCAUUUCUCUAUAUCCCCCUACCAAAGGGAGAAAUGCCAGUUUGUGUCAGAAGGAAGGUGACUGGAAGGCAGUCAGACCGGGGGACCUUGGCAGGGCAGGGUGUGCAUGAAGUGACAGAAGAAAAGGAAUGGGAGAAGGUGUGGAGAAUGGCCCUCAGUGCUGUGACAGCUACCGCACUCUCUCCUCAGGCCCUCAGAAGUUCUGGGGAGGUUGGCUCCAGGACACUGCUAACAGACUUUGCAAGAUCCAUAGGCCACACUUUCUUCUGAAGAUUUCUGUGAAAACAAUCCCUGAAAUUUAGGGAUGUGUUGAAUGUCAGUUAUGAUUUAUGAAAUGAGACUUCAAGCCUUACUUCCUUUUGUUACUGAGUAAAAGUUUUUCAAAUGCUUAUUAAGAUAACCUAAGGAUCAAGAAGGAAAACAAUGAAUCACUCACAAAGAAGAAAUGAAUCUCCAAGAGAAUCCUAAAGAAGAAGCAUUCAUCAGUCAUGCGUCUUCAUUUAUCUCCCCAGGCUGAGCUGCAGUCCCAUCUGUGUGACUGAUGCUGACUCUGAGCAGCUCCUUCUCCACCUCCUGCCUGUCCUUUCCCUGUCCCUGUCCCUUAGUCACACUGCCCGCUUGGAGAAGACGAGGAUCUGGAGCUCCUUAGAGGUGACACAACUGAUUUUCUCUAUCUUCCUCUAUUACCAUUCAUACUGUGGCCAGUUCAAAGAGCGAACACAAAUCAAUACCCUCAGCUGCUGAAACCAACCAAAACGUAUGGGUUGUUCUGUGCUGUAUUUCAUGAUUAAGUCACUUUCUGACAGUGGUUUCUCGAGCUGCUUUACAAUGCGAAAAAGACCAGUUUCUUCAGGAGACGAGCUGGAAGGCCAAGGCACGCCUGAGAUGUUCAGUUUGAUCCUGGAGUUCACCUAGGAAGACCUGAAGGUGAUGGUUGCAAGCUGAAAAAUGUUAGGCAUCGUGGUUUGCAUGCUGUGGCCAGGUCAGGUGUAGAGCACUCGUCCCUGUCACCUAGGUACCCCAUGGCGAAUUAUCAUCUAUGCCAUAUGUUGAUCUCCUGUUUAAAAUUAGAAGGAUCUUCUGUCUCACGCUGCAAAUGCAGUUCAGAAGGAUAAACUGCUUGCUGUGCUCAUUAGUAUGUUAGCCCAGAGAUUGAUUUUUACAGCUCACAGCAUUAGUAACAAACUGAAAAGUUUGGAAGUGUUUCUGAAAUGCGCUAAUGGAUAAGCUCCUGCUCAUUAUUCUCUCUCUCGGUACAACACGGAGCUUAGCGCUGCUGGUAAUUAAUCUAGAAUUAAGUUUGAAAAAAGUGAAGAAGUUGGGCUCAACAGGUAUUUGUUGAAUUUUGAGAAUUGUAUUUCCUGAUUUUCUAUGAGUUGAACUUACUGUGAGGAAAAAAAGAGUAGCUUGAAGACUUCUAGUAAAUAUGAGUCCAAAUGUUCUGUGAGGCCAGCAUUUUUCCAAGGAAGGAAGAACUAUAGCUACCUGGACUCUGAAAGCCAGGCUGUUUAUGUGGCAGAGAUAAGGGAGAGAGAGUUGGGUGUCCACCAUCAAAAAUGUUACCUUCUGUUUUUGUAACAGCUGCUCCAGCACUGCACUUCCUCCUUCAGGUGAGGCACUUGAGAAAGAGCUAUAAAAACUAAGUGGAACUCCUCCUCUUCACUAACAGUGCAAAGAGUUUGGAAGACCUCAUGUUUUUUCUUAGUUUUCAACAACAGUUGAAACCUGUGGAAGGGUAAAAGGACACCUAUAAUGUGUCUCAGAUAUGGUGCAGGCUGGCUGUUUAUAUACGGGUGAUGCUGAGCAUUGGGGUACGUAUGGUCAGGCAGGCCUCUGGGGUUGCAAUGUUCUCAAGAGAGGGACAGCCUCCUGAGAGUUCUGCUAGAUUUGGAAUUUGCAACUAGCCACAAAAUUAUAUCAGAUCUGAAACAAGAAUUAAAGCACAAUUUCAGGAAGCACUGGUUUGGGGAAGAGCAAUUCAGUGUACAGCUGAACCUCUGGGCAAGAACUGCAGCUUAGUUGCCUGAUAGUGACCUAACAGAAUUUUUGCGAUUGAUUAUUUACCAAACUACACUGGUUAUUCUUUCUUCAACAAGGGCUUUACUGUUGAACAUCAGCACAUAACUCCUGUGCAUUUGCAUGCACACACAAACAGGCAAACCUGUUCCGUUUCUGCAGUGCAAUGAAGAUGUUUGCCAGUCCUUGCCAAAAGUAGAUCUGAACAACUUGUUCCACCUGCUGAGUGGUCUGUCCUGAGAACUCUCUCCUUUACCAAGAUAACAGAGCACAGCUUCUGAUGCCAAUAUGUAAUUUCCCAUUAAAAUAUUUUGUUUUCUU